AGCCGUAAGACAUACUUCCUCCAAUAAGACCACCAAGUCCAUUCCAGGCUACAAGGAAUGCCAUACGAAAAAAUUGUUCUUCUUUUCUAUACCAUUGUGCAAUAAACAAAACAAAAGCUGGCGUAAUAACUGAUUCCAAUAUACCCAACAAAGUACGAGUAGCGAUAUAGGAAGCAUAAGAAUGCACCAGGCAAGUCAAGGUCAUUAAUAUACCCCAGGCCACAAUGAAGGCAGACGUUACUUUGCUAAGAGGAAAUUUUUGUAACAGAGUGGAUAAUGGUAACGAGAAUACCAUAAAACCAAGAUAAAAAGACGUACCAACCCAAUUGUAUUGAUUGCCCACCAUAUUUAAAUCGGUGCGAAUACCCAUAAUUGAUGAAUAAUUACUGGUGGAUUUGUCCAUAUAUUGAAAUGCUGAAAUGAGGCAGAGAAGUGGCAUAACCCAUAAAUCUGUCUUUAAUUUGAGUUUUCGAUUUAGCGAUUUGUCAAUAAUGGGAUGUUUCUCUGCAAAAAUCACAGCAACAUCCUCUUGGCUGUCUGAUCCUUUUUCACCCAACUCCUUAAUACUGUAAUUUUCUUCUUCUGUCUUCUCCAUGAUGAGAUUAGUAGUAAUUGUUGUGAAUGUAAGCACAAUAAUAAAUAUUUGAACUUUCCUUCGUCCUUUAUAUAAUUGAAAGCGUCAAAGCAUUAUCAUUGAUACAAACCAGAUAAGCUACAACUAUGUUGAUUUUAGCAGACAAAGGGCUGCAACAAGUCAACAAAUUUGACAGAUUAGUUUGCAAAAUACUUAUUUUACAAGUAUCUACAGCAUUUUGUCUCAGAUUCAAUUUCCAACUUGGUCUUCCGUGGGUAGAAUAGGUUGAAAUUUCGCAUCAGGUAUGCAUACAAUCAACAUGAAAAUCCCCAGAUUUUCUUAUUUUCUCAUCCACGGAUCUUACAUCCGUGGAUAGAAGUCGGAGUAUGAAGGUGCCAUUUUGGGGUGUACAACUUGCAACAUUAAUCUACCUUUUUUUCUCUAAAGAUUACCACUAUUGAUUUAACGGACUAAGAAAUUAUAAAAAU